CAGCAGCCACGGUAAUACGGAGGGAGCUAGCGUUAUUCGGAAUUACUGGGCGUAAAGCGCACGUAGGCGGCUUUGUAAGUUAGAGGUGAAAGCCUGGAGCUCAACUCCAGAAUUGCCUUUAAGACUGCAUCGCUUGAAUCCAGGAGAGGUGAGUGGAAUUCCGAGUGUAGAGGUGAAAUUCGUAGAUAUUCGGAAGAACACCAGUGUCGAAGGCGGCUCACUGGACUGGUAUUGACGCUGAGGUGCGAAAGCGUGGGGAGCAAACAGGAUUAGAUACCCCCGUAGUCCCUGUCUCUUAUAC
rnacentral:rRNA from 1 species